rnacentral:rRNA from 1 species
CCUACGGGUGGCAGCAGUGAGGAAUAUUGGUCAAUGGCCGGGAGGCUGAACCAGCCAAGUCGCGUGAGGGAAGACGGCCCUACGGGUUGUAAACCUCUUUUGUCAGGGAGCAAGGUGCAGGUCGGGACCUGCUGUGAGAGUACCUGAAGAAAAAGCAUCGGCUAACGCCGUGCCAGCAGCCGCGGUAAUACGGAGGAUGCGAGCGUUAUCCGGAUUUCAUGGGUGGAAAGGGUGCGGAGGCGGAGGCACAAGUAAGCGGUAAAAUCGCGGGGCUCAACCCCGCUCCGCCGUUGAAACGGUGUCCCUUGAGUGCGCGAAGGGUAGGCGGAAUGCGUGGUGGAGCGGUGAAAUGCAUAGAUAUCACGCAGAACUCCGAUCGCGAAGGCAGCCUACCGGCGCGCAACUGACGCUCAUGCACGAAAGCGUGGGGAUCGAACAGGAUUAGAUACACUUGUAGUA